GUGGGUUUGUCCAUAUCUCUAAAUUUCCAUUUCGUGCGUGCAUGUAAUGAUAAGUUACUCCUAGGAAUAUUUAUAACUAAAAUUUGCUUGGUAUGAACAUGCACAUAUUUUAUACAGAAAAUGCAUGUUACUCCAUCUCUAUUUGUAGAGUCAAUAUAUAUUUAAUAAUUUUAUGUAGCCAUUAUAUUUUAAAAAUGGUGUGAACAAAACGUUAAAAAUAGUAGAAUAAAAAACAUGUGGAAAAGGGUUUUAAACUUUGGUAGGCUUCUUUGACAAAAAAAACUUUGAUAGGCAC
rnacentral:lncRNA from 1 species